UCAUCAUUGAAAGGCUAUAGAUAGAUAGAUAGGUAGAUAGCCGUUUUUGUUGCUUGCAGGUACAGCAAUGGGAUAGUAUGGCUCCAGUUCUUUGGUGUAUUUUAAGAUUAACUCAAGCGUUCGUUUUAUUUGCUUUUCAGCUUUGUCGUGCCAUUGCAGCAGAAAGCGCGACGCAAAGCCUUUAGAGAGCUCGUUAAUAGAUGCCAGGGUGCUGCCUUUAGAAUCUCUCCCGGCCCUGAAGGAUUUAGGAUGGGAUUGGGGAGACAAGACGCCAUUUCAGCCUCCAAAAACCCCUGUCUUAAAAUGACUGCUGGGCAAAGAGGUAUACAGACAGAAAACCCUGCCAACCUGCAACUUGAGUUGGGUGCUGGAGACUGCAAGGAGAGCCACAUCUAAGGCGAGACAUUGGGGCACUGGUUCACAAAGAAUGGAUUCACUUGAGAGGAUUUUUCCAUAUAAAAUACAUCCCGGAUACCUUGAUCCAAGAUCCCUUUCUGUCUUUUAUCUCCAACAUCUGUCUUUCCUCCUCCAAUCCUAUCAGAUCUGCGCUGUAUUAACAAAGGGUCAUCCUGAGGCACAUGCAUGCACAGAGGAGUACAGUACAGCACCAUCAUGAAUUGCAGAAAUUCACCGCAAUUCAGAAGCACUUAGGAUGCUCCCUGAGGGUGUUGUAAUUCCUGGACUAAAUAAUAA